rnacentral:rRNA from 1 species
UACGUGAGGGGCAAGCGUUGUCCGGAUUUAUUGGGCGUAAAGCGCACGCAGGCGGUCUGCCAAGUUCGGAGUGACAGUUUCCGGCUUAACCGGAAAAGGUCUUCGAAAACUGGUGGACUUGAGAGCUUGAGGGGGAGACGGAAUUCCGGGUGGAGCGGUGGAAAUGCGUAGAUAUCCGGAGGAACACCGAAGGCGAAGGCAGUCUCCUGGCAAGUUUCUGACGCUCAGG